AAAAAAAAAAAGAGGGGAGACAGAGUAAAAAUGUACUCCUACAGUCAAGCCUUCCGUAUGGAGCCAAUGGGCAGAUGUGGUUUCCUUGGACUACUCUGACCUACAGAGGACACGAGAAACCUGAUGAGAAGGGUCAGAGGAGGGAAUCAGGAACAGAGUCCCUUGCAAGAGGGUGGAAAAAAAGCACUUGGGUCUGUGAAGAAAUAUUUGGAACAAGGAAAUCCUGCAAGUGAAAAGAAGUCCUACAACUGGGAAAGACAAAAAACCAGCCAGUGUAACCACAAUACUGGAUUUCCUAUGGAGAUAACCAUCAUCAAUGCACAAAGCUCCUGUGUUCCUUCAAUUAACAUACUGUAGGUGGAAGCAAAAAACACUGCAUAAUGGUAAGUUUCACUUUCUACAAAGUCAAAAGCUGUUUUAAUAGAAGCUUAAGUGCCUUUCUUUUCAGUUCAGCAAGAAAGAGAGUAUUUUCUCAGAGGCUGACUGAACACCCAGGUUGUUCAGAAGCCA
rnacentral:lncRNA from 1 species